UGGGCAGAAGAAAAUCCAAAUGAGGGUUUUUCUCAAAACAUCUUUUUAAAAGCCCUUGAAGACAGUUUAUGGGACCCUGCCC
rnacentral:lncRNA from 1 species